AUUGAACGCUGGCGGCAGGCCUAACACAUGCAAGUCGAGCGGAGAGGCGGAAGGGGGAGUAAUGCCUAGGAAUCUGCCUGGUAGUGGGGGAUAACGCCCGGAAACGGGCGCUAAGACCGCAAACUAGCAGAUGAGCCUAGGGCGGAUUAGCUAGUUGGUGGGGUAAAGGCCUACCAAGGCGACGAUCCGUAACUGGUCUGAGAGGAUGAUCAGUCACACUGGAACUGAGACACCGUCACGACUCCUCCGGGGGUCAGCAGUGGUGAAUAUUGGACAAUGGGCGAAAGCCUGAUCCAGCCAUGCCGCGUGUGUGAAGAAGUUCUUCGGAUUGUAAGGCACUUUUAGUUGGGAGGCGUUACCCACAUAAUAAGCACCGGCUAACUUCGUGCCAGCAGCCGCGGUAAUUC
rnacentral:rRNA from 1 species